GACAAACAAAAAAAGUGUUUAAAAAUCACAUCUCAAAUGUGAGAACUUCUUACAAGAACAGCAUAAGCCAUAGGUGAACACGAGCAGAAUGAACAAGUAGCUGAGAUCCACGUCUGCAUUAAAGAUCACUAAUUAGAACUAUAAAUAGCCAACAAUUCUAGCUCAAAUGCUGCUGUUUACCUUUGUUGGGAACAGCUACAUAGGUCAGUUAUGGCUACACUGAAAUAAUUCAUAUAUUUAUAAGGGAGAAGUAACAUUAAUGAGAAAUAAAGAAACCUUUGUCAGAAAGGGAACAAUGCAAGUGUAUGAGGAGAGCAGGUUUGUUGUCUUAAGAGUGAACAGAGCCACAUGAAGCACACAGGGCACAAAGCUGGGAUGGCACUGGAGUGAGCUGCUGGAAGCAGAGCUGUCUAGGGAUGAGUGUGCCCCAAGGCAGGCAAGAGGACACCAUGGCCCACACCAUAAUGCCCAAAAGCUUCAAUUCCCAAAGAAUCCUGCAUAAAACAGGGACCCAUCUUUGCUUGGAGGCAGGCUGGCAGGUCAGCUGGCUGUGAAAACACCAAUGCUGUGGCAGGGACUGUGUAGGUGAACCCAGCUGUUUGGGUUAAUGCUGUUCUACAUGGGGAGAAAAGCUUUGACAGAAGCAUGGCAACAGAUUUGGGCUCUCAGUCGCUUUGCCAUUCAUUCUGGGCACAAAUAACAUCUUUUUCACCCAAAUUUCAAGCAUUUUAAAGGGAAAUUUUACAGUAUCUGGUGGCUUAGUGCCACUGCUAAGCAGUGCUGAAGCAUCAGCCUUCCCCUAAACCUCCCUGUGAUAAAAAAUAAUCAGUUUAAACUAACAGGAUUUGGAACAAAAGAAGAGUUAUCAAUAAGAACACCUCCAGGACGGUUAAAGGAGAUUAAGGAGCAACAAUUCAGCUACAAAUCUUCUGAAGCCUUCAGAUGAAGAAGAAGUUGGUAAGCACAAAUUCUGCUUCAGCACUUCAAGGCCCAGCCUGCCAGAUGGAUCUUUGGGCUGUUGCAAAACACCAUCCUGCAGUUAGAGCCUAUAUGAGGGCUGCUGGUUCAACAGGAGGGGCUGAUGCUUGCUGAGAUGUAAGCUACUUUGAGUCACUGACUGCCUCAAAGCCAACAAGCUGCUCUUUUAGAAGUGCAAACUGCAGAGAGAACACAGAGAAUUAGCCUUUUUCCUGGGCACCACUGAAGUGCUCCAAACACCACCUCCGUUUAGGCAGAGGAUAUGCCUGCUGUGUUAAAGGAAAGCAAAGAGUUGAAAUACCUGCAGACUGUCUGAUCUGACCAGAGGAGGUAGCUCCAAGGAAGAGGUGCAAACUGCAAGAUUCCUUACAAGACAAAAUAGCCCUUAAUGGCAGCGUUAUUUUUUAACAGCAGAGGUUUCAGUGCUUAAGAAUGGUUUUUCUCUAGACAUUGUUAAGAAAGAAGUGAAAUAAAAACACUUGCAGUGACUGAGAAUGCUACCACAAAGCCAGGCCAGCUCCCAGAGCUCAAACACCAGUCUCUGUUCUGGUCAGGAGAUGGUUUUACUUAGCAAAAAGAAAGCAAGGUGACAGCUGUACUGACAUCCAUGUGUUCUGCUGCUCUCCAGGAGGAGAGGAUAGAAUGAACCAAAAGGAAAGAGAUGAAGGUAUGGUGAAGGAAGGAUGGCAGAGGGUCUUCUGAUGAGUGCUGGGUAAAUCUGAACCUGUGUCAGGGGCAUAAUGGGCACUCAAAGUACUGUUAAGUUGGUAAAUUCCAACCUGAAAACCCAUUUCUCCUUUUCUCGCAACAAACUCUCCUCUGCCAGAUGUUUUCCCCAGAACAACAGUUGGCAGAAUUCCAGGAAAGAUUCAAUCCUGAUGUGGACAGCAGAGCAGCAAACGUUUAAAAACCUGCUGCCAAAGUGGAGCUCUGCAAUGUCAGCAUUGCAUCUCACCCAAGAGAAGCGCUUACCUCGUGUCAGGCUGAACUAAAUGAUUUGCCCUCAACAGCAUUUCUGCCAUCCCAUAAAUCAUUCUGGACGUGACUGAACAUUUCUAGCUCUGAUAAAAGCUUUUCACUUGUCAAGUCACAAACAAACACUUAUAAAAGCUCUAAUUCCACCAUGUGUACAGCUUAACAAAGACUAUCCCACUGUAAUGGCCUCAGCCUUUUCCCAUAGCAUUUAUUCAGACCAAAACCUUUGCACACUGAUAACAGCAUCCUUCAAGGAGAGAAGAACACUGAGGCACAGAAGUGCUCAGCACUGGUAUGAGCACCUCUCCACCAUGCAGCUCUUCUAGCAGCAGACACAUGGAGAGCUGCAAAAGCAAAGUGCAGGAUUUGUAAUUCAGUGCCAUGAUAGGGAGCAAGCAUGGGAACAGGGGUUGUGGGGAGUGCCUUGGGGAUGUUACAUUAAGAGUUCAUAAAGGACUGAAUUUUGUGCGUUGCUCAGAUGAAGGCAACAAGGAGAAGAGAAUUCAAAACCAUCAGGAUUGAGACUGAGCAGUGGGUAUUUUGUGGCAGGGGGAAAUAGCGCAGACAAAACAAGGCUCUUGUAACCAACUGCAGCAACAUCCAUCAUUCCACAUCAGGGAUGCUUGCAAAAAGGCUGCAUUGAUUGCCUCCGAUCUGCAUUUCACAACAGAUCAGUCUCCUUUUCCACCACUCUCCCCACACUGCCCCUUCCUUCACCACUGCCCACAGCAGGCUCAGGAACUCAAAUCCAGACAGGAAAAAUAGACUUUUGAGGAAGCCAGCUGCCUUGCAAAGAAUUCAGAAUGUAAACCACCCCACAGCCUGCUCUGGGCAGCAGUUCUGGAGUAGCUGGAGGCUGAGAGUAAGCAGAGCAGGAAAAAGACCAGGAAUAUUUGGGGAUGGAUGGAUAGAUACCACUGCAUGAAAACGUAUCUUUUUCCCUUCUCCAAAUCCGUUGAUACAGAUAUCAUUAUCCAGAAAGCUUUAAGGUGGUAACCAGUGUUCCCUACAAGGACAAGACUAUCAAAGAGUACUAAAAGCCUAUAGAUGUCCACACACAAAACCUCUUCUCGUUUCCCCUGCCAUGAGCCCAGUUGCGUGGGGCUCUGAAGACUUGAAUCAGCUGUGGGAAAAGCACAGCUGCAACAUUUUUGGUGGAAUCAGGACAGCCUGGGUUUGCUGGAAGCACCUGAGCAUAAAGGGGGGGCCUAGAAGACAGCUCUUGUAAAUGGUGGAAAAAGAUGAAGCAGGGACAGUGUGAUUCACAGCCUGCAUGGGGUGUUGGGGCAGGGUGAGAGGAAGAGAGACUGUGAAAUUAUCACCCCAGGGAGCAGCUGCAAGCUGUUUUCUCACAGAAUUCACAGAUAAGUUACUGCUUUUAGUCCUCCCUGUUGUGUAUGUUGGUAAAUGCAAAGGCAGCUCUACCCCCAGAUUCUUCUUUAUGUCAGGAAAUGACAAUCCUUCCAUCACUUACAUAUGGUUUGCUCUCCCUACAGCAAGGAGGAUGUGGCAUAUAGACAUGUGUGGCGCUGGGCACGUGCACAAAUACCCACCACAUUACAGCCAGGAGUCUGCUCAGCUCUUCAGCAAUGGCUAGCUCAGUGGCAAAGCACUGAGUUUACUUGUGUGGUGGUCAAGCUCUCCAGCCAGCAGUGGCAGCCCAACAACAGACAGCAGGAAUGCAGCCAGCAUCUCCCAGGAAGGCAGCAGGAGUUACUGGUGUGAACUGAGAGGAUAUGCAUAGCUACAGCAGUGCCCUAGGUGUUGGGUUUUGUUACCUAUAUUAAGCAACAGAAAACAGCCAUCUUCCUGUUUUGCUGGUCAGACUCAUCACAAGGGCAGGUCUGUGGCUCCACCUUUUCUGGUAAUUGAUCCAGUUCUAAUAGAUAAACUGGUAAGAAGAGGGAAGAAACCCAGCAGCUUUAAUGAGCCUGUAAGAGAGGUCUCAUAGCCCGAGCCUUCUUAUUUUUCCUGAUACUCAUGAAUCACUUUCUUGAACGAGCAUCCACCUGUAAAUGCUAGAAUACAAUCAGACAUUCUAAGGCUUCCUAUCUGUUUCACCUUAGCCUUGCUGCUAAGAAGGGCUGCCAUCACUCUCUGUGUGUAGACAGACAGGACUUUGCACUGAAAACCAUCUGUGAAUUACCCUCUUACAAGAAUAAACCCAAGCCCUCUUGCAGAGCCAUGGCCCCAGAUAAGAGCAUGAAGGACUUCUCAAUGACAGAUACCUGCACACCCAACGCAGCACUCUGUGCUCACUCCUAAAGGCAGCUAUGCAGUUCAUUGUAGCAGAUGGAAAUAGUUGAAAGUAGGUCACUUCCCAGCCACCUCCCCCCACAACCUCCAAGAUUUUGCCAUGGCAAUGAAAAUAAAGGAGCAUCCUACCUAGACUGCUUCUGUCUGGAUACAGCAGAACAGGUAUCCCUCCAUUUCACACAUGCAGACGAUGGCUGUAUGGAAUGGCUAUGCCCACUCAUCUUCCACUGGCACUGGGCAGUUAACUCAAGAAGCAGUUUGCUAGGCUGCUGAAUGCUCCUACUGCCUUCUAUAAAGGCAACUGAAGAAAUGCCUGGUGUCCCUAAAUGAGGGAUAGCUUAGUAGACAGGAGGUUGCAAAGGUUGGCAGAGGGGAAACAAACUUCCCUCAGGCAAGGGAGAAAGCAGAGCUUUCCUCUGUUUCUGCACAUCCCCAGAGCACUACAACUGAUUUGAAGGUGGCAGUUUUUGCUGGAUUUUAUUUUCCCAUAGUCCAGAGUUGUGGCUUGUCAUCAUCCUGCUGGGAGCAUCCAGCAAAGAGGCGCUGUCUCAGAGGUAUUCUAUCACUGCAGACACUGCUUUAGAGGAUGCCUCUAAUCAGAAAGUAGUUUUCCUUCUGCCAUGUGCCCCUCUGGCUUUGGAGCUUUGUAAAUAGAGGAGAAAGGAUGCAAAGCAGCCACAAAAUUUGAUACCGUUUGGGACCGAAUAAUAGAUAAAGCUAUUUAUUUACUUUUAAAAGGUUGGUGCUGCAGGGAGUUUUGUCAGCCUAAGUGCCUCUGGCUCACACCUCUUCUCUGCAAAGGCUCAGACCACAGAAGAAGAAAUCAAAGCUGAGCCACAGGCCUCUGCAAAGAUUUGCAAUAACAAGCCCAGAAGACCGCUUCGCUAUUAUAAACUCCCAUCAGAAAUGCAAACUACAUCCUCCAAGCCUGCAAUGGAGUUUGAACCUAGGACCUCCAGCAUUUUCUAAACACAGUAAUAUAAUUAAGUAUUCCAUUUAUUUUCCUCUGUCUACACAUCUCCACAAGCAUUUCAUCUCCCUUGAGCUUCUCCUGUUAACACUUAAGUGAUUUUUAUUAAAUAACCAUCCUUUUAUAACUUCCCAUUGAACAAUUCUUUCAGAAAAGCCCGUUUAUACUCAGAUGAUUCUUCACUGCAGACAUCCUUUCUUGCCUCUCCUGGUAGAUGCUAUUGCUAUCUUGGGCUCUUUCUAACUGGGAGUCUCUUAUUCCAACAUUUCUUCAAACAUAUUACAUUUCAACCCUUGUUAACGUCUCCUUUUUUUACAAGACUGCUGGUAAAUAAAGACUGAGAGCAUUCUUCAGCUUUUUGGCAGUGUAACCUUCACCAAAUUGGUGGAAACCAAUUUGCGGGUGGUGGGAUGAAUCCCAGAUCUGCCUUGUUGCCACCCAGACAGCUUUUUUGGAGUACUUACCAAACUGAAACCAGAAAUAGAAGGCAAGAAUCUACUUUCCUACUCUAUCCCUACUUACAUGAUAGCAAUGUCCUCCUCAAGUUACCCAUCUGCAGAAUACACUCUGAUCUUUGUGGACAAGAUCCUUUCAAAAAUGCUUUGCAAAUGUAAAAGACAGAUCAUUUCCUAGAAGAGACCCAUCAUGCAGCAAAGCUACAAAGAAGAUCAUUAUUGCUAAUGAUACAGCCAGCCAGUUUGGAAUCUGGUCUCCUUUUCAAGCUCUAUCAACAACGAGUUCUCACAAAGAUCUCUCUCUCCAUCACCCCCUGCUUGCAACCACAUGAAAGUGCUGGGUUUUCUAUCCAGCAUUAGGAGAGAAUUCUUGGCAAAGUAUAUUUACAGAGGGAGGGGUUGGCUGCUGAUCCAUUUAGACUCAUGCCUGUCACCAAGCUCCUUAAUGGAAAGCAGCUGAGCCAUUUGUAAAGGGUUCAGACUAAGGGAAGAGGGAGAAGUAGAGCUGACUGCAUCCUGGUAAACUCAGAGUGUCUACUGAUGAGGACUAUGGUCAGGCACGCAGCUAAGGUCAGCGAGCACCUCAGCAGCACAGGGCAUGUCACAGCUUCAGCCAACUCACAGUCUCUCUUCACUUUACACAGCAUCUGGGACCUGCACAAAGGACCUUCUGGGAGAAAAAGAAAUGUCACCAUUCAGAUCUCCCUCCUCAGCCACCAAACUGUUCGGGUUCCUGCACAUCUAGAGCUGGGUUCACUGCUCCCCAGGCCAUGGAGAAUUGGAGUCCUCCCUUGCAAAAUGAAGGGCAGAUUCAGGCAUGAUGUCAGCCCUCAAAUCCCAGGCCUUGCUGCGUCGGCAUUUGGGUCAGGCCCUGUUUCACAAAGAGGAGAUUAGAAAAUAAAGCAGACUGGGUGAAGUGGGAAGGGGGAGGGUGCUUCAUAGCAGGCUGCUAUUCUUACAAAAAUCCCUUCACUGGGUGGGGAGGGAUUUGCUUUUUUGUCCUGGGUUCUUGCUCUAGCAUGGGGAAUUUGCCUCCAUAAUCUUCCUUUAUGCUCAUGCCACCAGACUGCAGUAACAUGAAAGAGAGCAACUGGGUCCUCUGAAUAAUUACCAAUUGGCAUCUUGCAUCCAACUUCUGUUGCUCAUCCAGACACUUCCUACAAAUCAGCCAUCUUCUUGUACAACCCACUGAAGUGCCCUGGCACACUGCUUGUUAGGGUACUACCCAGAGAGACAUGUCUGAGUGCAGCAAAUGCUGUACAGACAUGGACAGUCUGCACCUUCAACUGCUUUUAGUUCAUAAAAAGACAAAGUAACACAAGAAAGAGUAGAGAGCAGCUCUCUCUAGUCAUUUACAUGACUACAUUUACAACUGUAUAGGAUAAAAAGGACUGUUUAUCAACCACACUGAGCAAAAUCAAUCCAAUUUUGUUAGAGCAAUAUUAAACUGGAGUUCUUGAUGCAACUUCUCUGAAUCACAACGUGAGGUAGCCUUGGUGUAGCUGGGAAGGGAAGGGUGGAUUCUGCUAACACUAACAGCAAUUUUAUUUCAUGGGUGAAGAUGGGAGAUUGUUGCUAUAUUUUUCCCCUUUCUCAAACAAGAAGAAAAUGAAGGAUUUUGACUUGCCACCA